AAGAGUGAGGAAUCCAUGAAAAAAAACGGUGUGCAAUUCCGAGUUUGAAUGAGGGAGCUAUGAUCAAAACAAGCCCGAGUGCUCCGAACCUCAACAUGCCCCUAUAAACUCCAACUAAGCUAAAACAUCGGGAUGACCCCACUUCCUUCCUAUAGGGUGAUGUGAACGACUAGGAAAAUGGCCACGAUGACCCUCCAAAAUGAACCACAUACGCACCACAAUGGACCACAGACAAGCCCACACGAGGCUCAGACACCGACUAAGCCCAAAAGGGGCCCUAGUGGUGCCAUAUGAGAACGAUGGGUGCAGGUGACACCCAAAGGAUAAAUGUCAGUGUCGAGGGACAAAAUUGAG
rnacentral:lncRNA from 1 species